rnacentral:rRNA from 1 species
UACGGGGGAUGCAAGCGUUAUUCGGAAUUAUUGGGCGUAAAGGGCGCGUAGGCUGCCUUAUCAGUCAGAUGUGAAAGCCCGGGGCUCAACCCCGGCAGUGCAUUUGAAACAGUAAGGCUUGAGUAUGGGAGAGGAAAGCGGAAUUCCUGGUGUAGAGGUGAAAUUCGUAGAUAUCAGGAGGAACACCGGUGGCGAAGGCGGCUUUCUGGACCAAUACUGACGCUGAGGCGCGAAGGCGUGGGUAGCGAACGGG